GAGAACCUCUCUAACAUCUUACCCUAAAGUACUCUGUCAUCCUACACAGAGCUCUUGGCAGUCUUCCUUUUGACUUAUGCUUAUCUAGGAAUGGACAACCAAGAAGAGAAGUUAUUGAGGAAAGUCCAUAAUACAUCAGAGAACAUACAAGAUAAACCAAGAGGAAAAUAUGACCUCAGAGUACAUGGGGAAAAGAGACACCACUGCUCUUAGGUCUGGAAGAUGUGAGCAAACACUCAGCUUCCGGUAACUCACCACCAUAGUCACCGCAACCCAGUAACACACAUUCAAAUAUGGAGUCUGUUUUGGCACAACUGAUAGAAACAAUUUUGUUAUCCGAAGAUUAGAUGGUGAAGGAAAAGAAAUGCCAUUUAAAUUGGAUCCACCUACAACAGGAACCAAAACUUCAAGGUUUGAUGGUGACCCCAUCUUCACAACCAAACUAAAUAUUACAAAAAAUUCAAAAUAAUGUAGGAUGGACUUCCACUUCCAGCCAAGAUGGAGUAACAGAGGCCAGAUUUACCUCCCUGCCUGAAACCUCCUCUCCUCUGAAAAAUACAAAAUAUAUGAAGCAAUGGUUUUUAAAGCAGUAGACAUGAGGCAACAAAGGACAGUCUUCCCUGUGAGACGGAGAAAAAAGGAGGCCAUUUAUAGGGCCAACAUUCUGAGAUUAUCUGAGCCUCUGUCUUGAGGCAGCUGGAGCCUCUCAGAUGAGCCAUCUAAACAUCUCAAGCCUUUGAAACUUUCUAUCAUCAUCAUCAUCAUCAUCAUCAUCUCGGGACUCAUGUGUAUUCUCCAUUCUUCUCUUUGGCCAGAAUAUUUAUACUUGAUGAAUGCUUUGUACACAUUAAAAGCAGAUAAACUGUUUUCCCUGCUGAAAUCCAUCUGCUUAAAAAUGAAG
rnacentral:lncRNA from 1 species